rnacentral:rRNA from 1 species
UACAGAGGUCUCAAGCGUUGUUCGGAUUCAUUGGGCGUAAAGGGUGCGUAGGCGGCGCGGUAAGUCGGGUGUGAAAUCUUGGAGCUUAACUCCGAAACUGCAUUCGAUACUGCCGUGCUUGAGGACUGGAGAGGAGACUGGAAUUUACGGUGUAGCGGUGAAAUGCGUAGAUAUCGUAAGGAAGACCAGUGGCGAAGGCGGGUCUCUGGACCGAUAUCGACGCUGAGGAGCGAAAGCGUGGGGAGCGAACAGG